rnacentral:rRNA from 1 species
GAGUUUGAUCGUGGCUCAGAUUGAACGCUGGCGGCAGGCCUAACACAUGCAAGUCGAGCGGAUGAAGGGAGCUUGCUCCUGGAUUCAGCGGCGGACGGGUGAGUAAUGCCUAGGAAUCUGCCUGGUAGUGGGGAUAACGUCCGGAACGGGCGCUGAUACCGCAUACGUCCUGAGGGAGAAAGUGGGGAUCUUCGGACCUCACGCUAUCAGAUGAGCCUAGGUCGGAUUAGCUAGUUGGUGGGGUAAAGGCCUACCAAGGCGACGAUCCGUAACUGGUCUGAGAGGAUGAUCAGUCACACUGGAACUGAGACACGGUCCAGACUCCUACGGGAGGCAGCAGGUGGGGAAUAUUGGACAAUGGGCGAAAGCCUGAUCCAGCCAUGCCGCGUGUGUGAAGAAGGUCUUCGGAUUGUAAAGC